rnacentral:rRNA from 1 species
CAUAUCAAUAAGCGGAGGAAAAGAAACCAACAGGGAUUGCCCUAGUAACGGCGAGUGAAGCGGCAACAGCUCAAAUUUGAAAUCUGGCGCAAGCCCGAGUUGUAAUUUGUAGAGGAUGUUUCUGGCGACGUGCCUUCCGAGUUCCCUGGAACGGGACGCCAUAGAGGGUGAGAGCCCCGUACGGUUGGAUGCCUAGCCUCUGUGAAACUCCUUCGACGAGUCGAGUAGUUUGGGAAUGCUGCUCUAAAUGGGAGGUAUACGUCUUCUAAAGCUAAAUACCGGCCAGAGACCGAUAGCGCACAAGUAGAGUGAUCGAAAGAUGAAAAGCACUUUGAAAAGAGGGUUAAAAAGUACGUGAAAUUGUUGAAAGGGAAGCGUUCAUGACCAGACUUGGGCAGGUUGAUCAUCCGUGGUUCUCCGCGGUGCACUCYGCCSGCCCAGGCCAGCAUCAGUUCGCCCCGGGGG